rnacentral:rRNA from 1 species
GGGGGCCCAUACCAUUCUACAGCAUAAGAAGAAGGUAAGUGGACAAAGAAAUAACAAUACAAGGCAGUUAAAAUGGCUUUGUAAUUGGGAAUGGAUAGAAAAUUUAAACACUUUUUAAAGUAUCAAUUAGGUAGGGCAAGUCUAGGUAGCCAGCAGCCGCGGUAAUUCCAGCUCCAAUAGCGUAUAUUAAAAUUGUUGCAGUUAAAAAGCUCGUAGUUGAAUUUCUGCUAAAAAUAACCGGUCUGCUUUUAAUAAAGGUGGUAUCUUGGUGUGUUUUUAGCAAUAAUGUCCUUUGAAAUGUUUUUUACUUCAUUGUAAUAAAUUAUAUUUAGGAUUUUUACUUUGAGAAAAUUAGAGUGUUUCUAGCAGGCUAAUGCUUUGAAUACUGCAGCAUGGAAUAAUAAAAUAGGAUUUUGGUUCUACAUUAUUGGUUAAAAAGACAUAAAAUUAAUGAUUGAUAGGGACAGUUGGGCAAAUAUUUGUUUAAUA